ACAUUCCCUCAAAAUCAGCGGUAUCUGCUUAGAGUUUGCUGGAAUGACCAACUUUUUUUUAUAAAACAAACGGCCACUUACAAUCGCAAACCCAGUCUUCACUUCCUCUCCCCUUUGUAACUUCAACAACACUUCCUGUAUCUCCUUAUCUUCGUUGAUUUCUUGGUAUAAAUCUCGAAGUUGUAGGUAUGAUGGAACUGUCAAUGCCAACAACUCCGCACUCUGCAUUGUCAAAGCUGAGUAAUCAAUGCGUGAAAGACCAUCAGCUACCUUGUUUUCACUCCCCACCU
rnacentral:lncRNA from 1 species